GGCCGCGACCAUACCAUGUUACAAACACCGGUUCUCGUCUGGUCACCGAAGUUAAGCAACGUUAGGCCUGGUUAGUAAUUGCAUGGGUGAAUACCGGUCGUUGCGGCCG
rnacentral:rRNA from 1 species